GAUGAACGCUGGCGGCGUGCCUAAUACAUGCAAGUCGAGCGAACGGACGAGAAGCUUGCUUCUCUGAUGUUAGCGGCGGACGGGUGAGUAACACGUGGAUAACCUACCUAUAAGACUGGGAUAACUUCGGGAAACCGGAGCUAAUACCUGAUAAUAUUUUGAACCGCAUGGUUCAAAAGUAAAAGACGGUCUUGCUGUCACUUAUAGAUGGAUCCGCGCUGCAUUAGCUAGUUGGUAAGGUAACGGCUUACCAAGGCAACGAUGCAUAGCCGACCUGAGAGGGUGAUCGGCCACACUGGAACUGAGACACGGUCCAGACUCCUACGGGAGGCCGCAGUAGGGAAUCUUCCGCGAUGGGCGAAAGCCUGACGGAGCAACGCCGCGUGAGUGAUGAAGGUCUUCGGAUCGUAAAACUCUGUUAUUAGGGAAGAACAUAUGUGUAAGUAACUGUGCACAUCUUGACGGUACCUAAUCAGAAAGCCACGGCUAACUACGUG
rnacentral:rRNA from 1 species